GACGUAGGGGGCGAGCGUUGUCCGGAUUUAUUGGGCGUAAAGCGCGCGCAGGCGGCUCGGAAAGUCGGGUGUGAAAACCCGGGGCUCAACCCCGGGCCUGCAUCCGAUACUGUCGGGCUAGAGGCAGGUAGGGGAGAUCGGAAUUCCUGGUGUAGCGGUGAAAUGCGCAGAUAUCAGGAGGAACACCGGUGGCGAAGGCGGAUCUCUGGGCCUGUCCUGACGCUCAGGCGCGAAAGCUAGGGGAGCAAACAGGAUUAGAAACCCGUAGUAGU
rnacentral:rRNA from 1 species